UACGGGGGGGGCAAGCGUUGUUCGGAAUUACUGGGCGUAAAGGGCUCGUAGGCGGCCAACUAAGUCAGACGUGAAAUCCCUCGGCUUAACCGGGGAACUGCGUCUGAUACUGGAUGGCUAGAGAUUGGGAGAGGGAUGCGGAAUUCCAGGUGUAGCGGUGAAAUGCGUAGAUAUCUGGGGGAAGGCCGGCGGCGAAGGCGCCCUUCUGGGAGAUUCCUGACACUGAGGCGCGAAAGCGUGGGGAGCAAACAGG
rnacentral:rRNA from 1 species